UAUUAUUAUUGUAUGAGAGUGUAGUUCGCAACAAUCAAGAAUCAACCACAAUAUUACAAACAUGCAUUAAUUAAGUGGGUGGUGUAGAUAUUAGGUAGAGAAUCAAGCUCUUGCUCCCCAGCUACUCUCCAUUUUGUUGUAUAUAAAUAAUGCAAAGCCAUGUAUUUUGAAAACCAAUAGAAGAUCAAAUCUUGAAGUGCGUGGGAGCUGCCAACAGUUUCGUGUUCUUGGCUAGGAUUUAAUGCUUUUUUUUUUUUUUUGAAAAGCAAGAUUGGAGAGUAGCAUGCAUUGGCUAUAAGCUUCAGGUUGACCAAUCAAGAUGAAGAUGUUAUUUAAUCGUUUUUGCAGGAUAUAUUUUAAUGGGGAGAUAUUGCUGACCAUUUCCUUGAUGAACGAGAGAAACGCCAUCAUUGGCCAUGCAUUUGUUUAAGCAAUCCACGUACACGCUUCUCGUGUUUAGUUGGAAAAAAAAAUUAGAGGCAAGAUCAUGGAAAAGAGAAAAUGAGGUGUUAAUAUUAAUUUUAUUAUUUAAUUUGACGUGUAAUUAUCUUCUUCUUUUUUCUCUUUUCCUCUCUCUCUUUCUUUUCUCUCUUUCCAUCUCCUUUUAUUUUUUCAAAUCAAACAUGCUAGUUAUUUAAUCAUAGUGUAUUAGUCUGAGGCUUGGAAAUACAGUUAUGUUAAAUAUUUGUUAGCAGAGCUUUGCCGCCCUAAUGGUCCUACCCGGCUCGAAAUUAAAUUAGUCGGGAUUUAAUGUAAUAUUCGAACACCAGAUGAUUUAAUACACUAAAAAAAAUAUAUUAAUUUUUUAUAAAUACUACAAAAAGAGGAGUACAGUAAGAGUUCGAUUCCUCACCUAUUCUCUC
rnacentral:lncRNA from 1 species